rnacentral:rRNA from 1 species
UACGUAGGGGGCAAGCGUUGUCCGGAUUUAUUGGGCGUAAAGCGAGCGCAGGCGGAAAGAUAAGUCUGAUGUGAAAGCCCCCGGCUUAACCGAGGAAUUGCAUCGGAAACUGUGUUUCUUGAGUGCAGAAGAGGAGAGUGGAACUCCAUGUGUAGCGGUGGAAUGCGUAGAUAUCGGGAGGAACACCAGUGGCGAAGGCGGUUUACUGGACCACAACUGACGCUGAGACACGAAAGCGUGGGGAGCAAACAGG